CUCCCACUUAGAGGAUGGAAUGGCAGCUUGGAGGUGCUGGCAGCCAUCGUGCCACCCUGAAGGAAGAGCCUGGGAAUAGAGAACACAAAGGAACGCAGAGCCAAGCAAUGGAGAGAGAAAGAUCAACAUUUUUAUAUUGAGGACUGAUUAUAUUUUGUAUAAAUGAAAUAUUUUUAUCCUGACAAUAUUUUUAGAGUGACCUGGAUCCAACCAGACCUGAAGUAUCACCCAAACUUAUGCAUUCUGGCUCUGACAAAUCACCUGUUGUAGUGGUGAUUUGAGGCAGCUUGAAUUAAUUUUUUUCUGUCACUUGCUCCCAAAAGGGUUCUCUCUGAUGGAGGGGGCUCUGUUAAGUGUAAGAUUGUUCCCUCUCCUGUGAAAUCUCAAAUCUCAGGUGAUCUGGUGGAAGGAAAUCAUUUUAAAAGAAACAAGAGGGGAUCCAUUAACAUCUCAAGGAGUUCCCCAAAAAGGAUUGUGUGGAACUCAUGAAGAUAACUCGUGCUUCUUAAGACAUUUGAAACUGGGCAGGGAAUUCGCCAAUCAUGCUGACGUGAUUCUAGAAGAAGGAGGCAGAUUAGCAUCGGGCAGGUGAGAAAGCGGCUGGUGCCAGGGGGACUCCUGCAGGCUCGAAGGCUGUCACGCUGGUUCCCAGAGCCAAGAGGGUGACCGAGCCCCUGCCCCAGAUGCUGCAGAGAUGAGGCACAGCUCAG
rnacentral:lncRNA from 10 species